CACCAUUUUGGUGCAAAAUGGUGCAAAGUGAAUAGUGUUGCACCAAAUAUGGUGUAAUACUAUUCACUUUGCACCAUUUUUCACCAAAAUGGUG
rnacentral:miRNA from 1 species